GACAGUUGGAGCCACUGGAAAAGCAAACACAAGUCUCCGAACCCUCUAUACCUCAGUUUCCCCAUCUGGAAAAUGAAGAUAACCCCUGUCUGUUAGAGGAGUGGGGAUUGGCCAAAUGACACGACGUGCUCCGAAGAGGGCCUUCCACACCAAAGACGCUCUAAGCCCUAGAUGUCAGUCAUUCUCCCAACGCGCCUGCGCAGUAUAUCAGCUAAACCUAUUUUCUUCCUACUUUAUUCAUCUGCAGAUGUCCCUGGGCCGGGAGCGGAGUCCUGGGGCCAGAGAGGGAGAAGGAGCCUUGCCAUGGUUGGUUAUGGCUUGUCCCCAAAGGAAAAAGCGGGAAGUUCUUGGCCGGAAGUGUGGUGUGGAGGUGCUGAGCCUUUCCCAGGUGAGGCGUGUGGAAGGCAAAGAGCCCACCUUGCUCCACCCUCUGGGGAUUCCUGCUGCCUCGUGGAGGGGUUGGGCAGGUGCAGGCGGUUGUCAGAGAGCGAGCCCCACGCGCCUGGCCCUCCUGUGCUGGCCUCCACUCUCCUUUGCUCAGCCAUUUUGGGAUGUAGCCAGGGGACUCUGGUGCCAUCACCUCUUGGACCCUCCAGCUGCCAGAAUUGCUGCUCUGUGGGAGAAUGAGCACAUGUUACAUCUUCACAGGGGCAGCAGUUCUUGGCAAAUAAGAGCAUGGGCCCAUGGGACCUCUGGAGUCAAAUCCGGGUUGGCCUUCAUGAACUCUGUGACCUCAUGAAAUACAGGGGAUACUAAAUGAACCAAAAGCUGAUAUGGUGCAAUGCGUUAUUAUUCAGACCAAGAAGUCGCAUGAUGCCAGCCCAGAGCUGUGAGGCUUGGAUCUGCUUCCCGUGGGCCCACAUAUCACCAUUCGAGGCAGCCAGCUGGGGACCAAUGAGCUCCUUAAAUAUUCACAUGCAGGAGUCAGCCACUCUGCAGUAAAGUCAAGAGGGCAGGAACAGAGUGUGGGCAGAUACAAAGCACCCCAUGGCCCCUGGCCACAAUAAAGCAGCCCUGCAUGCCUAUAAGAAGAAGAACUCAGAAUCUUUUCACUCAGUACCAAGAGAUUUGGCAGGCCCUCUUGUUCCUAGGCCUGUACCCACUGAACUCAUCUGAAAGCUGUAAGAUGACCUGGAGCCUUACUCUACAGCAACCUGCUCAGAGGCACGUCCAUCAUUGGGCCACACAAAUAAUUUGUUUUACUACCAUCGCCUAAGUGUUCUAAGCUUUGGAAGCUGUAUUCUUGGAGGCAAAACAAACAAACAAACAAAUAAAAAAA